UUAGAAGCCGAUGAUAGCAUUUUGAGCAGCAGCAAAGAAGCAGAACAACGUAAAAUGUGUGGUGGAAGGCUCAAAAGGGAAGUGGAACAGUUCGAUAAAAAACAGCAAGAAUGAUGAGGUCAUUGAUAGGAAAUGAUUAAAGAUUUUGUUGGAGAUUGGGAUGGAAGGUGUGCGGGAAGAGAAUGCAAACUCAUGUAAUUGCACUUUGCAGUGCAUUUGGUUCCCAAAACCCUAGAUGUUGUUUUUAUGUUUUAGACAUAGAAGUAAAAAGGUAGUUGGUAAAAGUCAACAACAUUAGUCUUCCUUCUUCAAGCAUGCUUGUCUAACAACAAGCUCAAUAGGUAGUUCAAGCUUAUAACUUGGUCUAAAACUAGCAUUUGAGCUAAGAGGAGCCAACUGCCAAGCUGAGUUUCUGCAGCAAAUAGCUUGGCUAAUGCACAACAAUAGUUUCAAUGGUUUAUCCUCACUGUUCCUUUAUUCAUAGCAUGAUUGUGCUUGGUUUUUUUGCUUUGUAGUCAUGAUUGAGGCUCUGUUCAGUGUUCCUGUCGUGAUCGAAGCUUCAGUCCAAGAUUAUUGUGAAUCUAAACCAAACUUUGCUGAACUUACCGUACUCCAUGGUGUUUUGGAUUUGAGAAAUUGAAAGUCUUUGAACUUUGUGUACAUGCAUUGGAGGGGAAGGCAACAUACUUGCAGUAGAUGGCACAUUGAUGAUUGACUCGGCUACCAAGGCAUCCAACGCAUUUCAGCCAGUCAUUCUUUUCAUAUGAUGUAUCCAAGCAAAGAAUAUGCAUUAUGUGUAUGUAUGUGCAGGAGUCAUGAGGGGCAGUGUUGUAUGACAGUGCAGCAACGAAUUGCACAGGACACAAUGUGUUUGAAGGCGGAAGUUGAUGAAAUAGAGCAUGCUUGCUGCUUCUCAGCAUUUAUAUUGCUUACAGUGUGUGAACUAUAAGCAAUUUGCAUGUAAGAAGGCAGGCCAUGAUCCUAUUUCAAGGUUACUUUUCAUCUGUGCCAUUCGAAG